GUAACUUUUAAUUAGUACGAAAUGAAUGAGUAAAUUUUCUAUAAAUAUAAAUUGAAAAAUAAAUAUUUUCAAAACUACAAACAUUUAUCAAAAAGAAUUAUCUUAAUUGCAAGGAUGAGAAUGAUUGAUAUUAACUUAAACACAAAAUUCUUUAUAACCUUUUAUUAUGUUUAUUAUAAAUUUUUUUCUUUAUUUAUCCAUUGUCCUACGAAUUUUACAAUUGACUGAAUCAAUUAAUUUUACAAUUCAGCUAUUUUUGAAUAACGAGACAUCGAAUGCAUUACAAAUAGAACCAACAAACGAGUUCUGCAAUCGUGAGUAAAUGUUUAUCAAAGCGUAGAAACAGGUGAUGGAUGAGUAUCACGAUAUGCUGAUGUUUAAAUUCAUUCCAAUUAAUGAUUCGAAAUGGAACGAUUUCGAUGAUUUAAAUAUCGUGUAUGCAAAAUUCUUAUUUGCAUUCGCGGAUCAAUCAUUCGAAUUUGCUUCGUUUAGCAACUACAUUUUCGUACAGUAUACACUUUCUCGACAAAAGCACUUGUAUUCCAAGAUGUUUGAUUUUCCACAAUACUUUUUCCUUUUAUUAAUUGUAUGUAAUAUAAAAAUAUUCGGCAUUUUUUCUGUCGAUUAAGCGAAAACGAGGUACUUUUUUUGAAAAUAAAACGUUGAAUUCAAUCAAUGAAAUAUUAAUAGCUUAUUCUUGAAAUAUUGUAUCCUCAUUUUUCAAGAAAAAGAUUUAGACAUUCGACGUGCAAAUUAAUAAAAAUAUUUUUAACAAAUUUAUAACAUAGAUUUAAAUAUGAUUUGUAUAUAUAAAGAGAUGGAGAAAUUUCUUGCAAUGUUUUCAUUCAAGUAUUUUGAUACAAUUCAAAUUUCUUGUAAAAUAUUUUUUGCGCCAUUACAAUCGAAGAAAAUAUUAAAUCCAGAAACGUAAGUGGACUAUCCCGUGUAAUAAACGAAAGAAAAAAAUUGGACUAAUUUUAAAAUGAAUAUUUCAAAUAAUAAAAUAAAAAUUCGUCGAUAAAAUAGAAAAUAGCACGUUCAAGAUGUACAACGAAUUUGCAAAAAUUAAAAAAAAUUAUUGCAAAUGAAAUACAUUAACAGAAAUAUCUUUAUACGAACGAAAUUUUAAUGAUCAUCUGAAUUCAUCGUCUUUAUAACACGCGAUAAGAAAACAACUAAGCGAUUAAUUAACUUUCAAUUCAAUCAUUUCGGAAAAUUCUUGCUUCAAAUCGUUUACUCUGAUUACAAGUUAAUGUCUCAACCGACGAAAAUGAUCGAUACUUUGUUUCUUCCUCGACGAGUCCACGUUCCAUUCGCGAAAUGUCCAUUAUAUUCCCGUGCCAUUGGCGUGCAAAAAAUGUGCAACCUCGAAUUUUCCACCGAGGGCACUCGAUGCUCGAAGCAAGUGUCGUGCUCGAGGAGAUCAGCACGAUGGGACGAGUUUCUCAUCUCUCUCUCUCUCUCUCUCUCUUCCCCUCCUUCAUCUCUGAAUUAAUAACCCGAACCCUAGUCAACAGAGUUUGCUCUCGAUGGCCGCAAAAAUGCUCGAGAACGCACCAUCUUCGGCGUUCUGAGUUAGGAUCUCGAUUCGUCGUCCAUUGGAGGGGAGGAGUAGCGGCCCAGAGCAGCGUCAGCUAUCUCUCUCUCUCUCUCUUUGUCUUUGUCGUUCCCGCCGUCCGGCGAAUCUCAAUGUGGGUCAACUCUGUACUGGAUUAUGCUCGAGCACGAAUGCACGAUUUCCAAAAUGAGGUCUCGGGAGGUGCUCACCGAACAAGAAGGGACACCGUGUCCGUCCUCUUGCAAACGAAGUCGAAGUCGUUAAGGGAGGGAGGGGGCAAUUGUCCACGGACAACUCGUGGACGAUGAAAGUUUGGGAUUUGGGAUGAGAAUCGGAUUAGGAAGAAACGGAUAGGAUGGGAAUAAUAGGGAUAAUGGCGAUGAGAGAUUGGCGUAAAAAAAAGAUCUGUGAUACGCAGGGUGAAUAAAAUUAUUUGGAAUAUUUCAUUUGGUUUUAUUGAUAGGAUAAAAUGUUUGAAAUGGAAAUCGAAUGGUGCAGAGGGAUAGAUGUUUCUUGCAAUGAUAUCCAUAAAUGUAUAAUGGGUUUUCAUGCAAUAUUCUCUGUAAAAAGAUAUUAAUGUUCAAUUUGUAAUGCUUGUUCCCUGUUUUUUUUGAAAAGGCAAAGUUGAUAUAUGCAGAAAUUUACUAAUAAUAUCGAAAUAAGGAUUUCUCGAUAUAUGCGAAUAAUAGACAGAAUGAUUAUCUUCGUACAGUGUCAAAAGUUUUUCUCUUUGUUUACAAAAUUUCAAUAAUUACAGGAUAUAUCAAAUUGUGUGCAUUAUAGAUUCACGAGUAAAUAUAGCAAUUGAGUACAUCGUUAUUUAUAAUCAAAUUCGAUUUUCAUUAUAUCGCUCACUCAAAAGAAAAAGAAAAGAUACGGAGAUCUUUGAGGAUUAUUCAAUCUGAUUUUCAAUUUCGUGUUGUUGCACUCAUUGUCGAGAAUUCGUUUUGAACAAAUAAAUAAAUGUCCGUGGCGGGCAGUGUACAACGUCUAAGUUAAUGUGGAUGGGCCCUUAUAAGUCGCCAACAAGUUGAGAAGAUCGUCGAUAGAAAAUAAAUAAAUAAAUGUCCAACGUCCUCCAACAAUGAAGAAGAAACGGUGCACGGAAUGUUUACAGACGUCUGUCGGUACAGAUGGACCCUUCUAUUGCUAACGAGCUAAAAGAUCGAUAGAAAAUCUCUUGUAACAGGAUAACUCCUAUUUUGCUAUUUCCUUUCAUUUUUCAGUAGAACAGCGAUUAGAAUAUCCGUAAGGAAGUUUAACUUAAUUCUACAACUUCUGAAAAAUAUAUACCCGUUUUCCUAGCAAGGAUUCCUCGGGUCGAUUAGGAUUUUUUCUUCUUUGGAUAUAUGCGAAUGCAAGCGAACGCACGCUUUAAUAUCGAGGACGCCUCUGUACUAUUUUUGUCCGGUAUAAGGAUAGGGUAGCUGUUUACCAGCCGAUGAAUAAACGGAGGAGACUGCUUCCGCACUUGAUAUAUACGCACAUUACACGUGCGUGCUCUCAAAGAAAUUAUCAUUGGCGAUAAAUUCUACGAUAUUUUGAAACACAAAUUGGGAAUUAUUACCCGUUUGCGAAGUGACAAUAUAGUUGUGAAAUGAAAAUAAUAUAUAAAUUUAAGUCGCUAUAAAGGCGAGUCUCCAUCGACAGAUAUCGUCUGCAAACGCUCGCUGGCAUUGUUCGUUCGAAUAACGCCGCUGGAAGCGUAUAUCGUCCGACGUAAGUAUUGUGCGUCCAUAACUAAUAAUAUUCGAGCCAAUAUCUCUAUUCAGGCGUGUAUUUUAUCUUCGAAUUGUUCGAAUAUAAAAAUCCCAAGAUAUUCCAUUCGCGAUAUGGUCGAUAUAACGUUUUAAAUACUCGUGCAAAUAUUCUUAGCCACUUCUUCUCAGACGUGUGCCCAGGAAUUAUUCUCGUUAUUGGAAAAGAAUCAACUUUGGGCUUAGCCGAGUUGUGCUACGCAUUGAUAAAUAUUUUUGUAAAAUGAAAAUAACAUUUAGAUCCAUGUCAAUUUACGAUCUCACGACAAAUAAGUAUCAUCUGUAGCAAUAUUUGAAUACGUCGUUAAACGUGAUUUAUCUUAGGAACGGAAAAAAUUAUCGUAGUCCAAAAUGCAAUAAUUCGUGUAUCGCAACACGAAAUGAUGUCGUAUAUUUUAAUAAAAUUUUAAACGAAUUUUAAUUAAAACUGAACGCGUUUGCGCCAAUUCCAAGAUUAUAAGGAAGAUUCGUUUCUCAUGUAAUAAUAUCUUGUUUCUUCUUCAAGAAUCGUAAUUCUUGAGCGGCUCAUUAAUUCUCUAUGAUGGGAUGUUCUAGGGUGGAAUGACGUAAAAUCCAGCUUAAGAAAAUAAACGAGCGUUUACAUAAAAGAGGGAAAGAAGGGAUCGAGAAAUUCGGAUUUGGUGGAGAGGGGUCCACCAAUCUCUGUCGACCAUCUUUAAGGAAAACACUAGACGGCUAACUUCUUUAAUCCUUAAAGUCUUCAAAGUUUCAUCACGGAGUUCACCACGGCACGAGCUGUCAAAUACGUUUAGCACAAAAUCUUCCUGUUCCUAAUUUCCCUCGUCGUUUCGUGUCUGCGUAGCUUCUCAUCUUCCUCGUAUCUUGGAAUCAGAGCUUUCGCCUGGGAAAAUUCGUUUACGCUACGUGGUCGACCAAUUUGACUUAUCAAUGUCCAAUUUGCCGGUAACUCGAGAAUAUUAGAUGCUCGUCUUCUGUUUGAAAAAAUUAAAAUAAUGAUACGUUAAUUAUGGAGGAGAAGUUUAUAAAAUCCGUGAAAAUUUUUACAUUUACUUGGAAAAAUUUAGAUAUUAUUCAAUUUAAAUGCCACUGUGGAAGAUAAUUUCCUCUUUUUAAUUAUUGGAAAUAACGAAUAAUGUACUAUUGAAGAGUUUUUUGUAAAAUAAUCGUCUGCAAUAAAAAUUGAUUUAUUGACAAUUAUUCAGAUAAAUUAAAUGGAAUACUCAAAAUUCAAAAUUUGGAUAUAAUAAAGGAAAAAAAAGUUAUUUCUAACUUAUAUCUAUUUAACUGUUUCAUCAAAUAAUAUUAAAUAAUACAUAAAUAAUUAACGAUAAAUAUUUUAAAUGUUUCACCAUUCGAUACUUUUCAAACUUACGGAUAAUAUCAGGUACAUAUCUCGCGGAAAAGAUCGAAAGAGUCAAAGCAUAUUGCACUUGCCAAUGAAAGAGAGUCAUUAGAGUCACCGUGUAAUUGAUAAUACAAACGUCGGUCGAGGUUAAUUCCAUUUGGCCGUUUGAGAACACACGAAUGGUGGAAGUUUUGGCGGGAUGAGUUUUUGGAAUCGAUCCCUGCGGUCUGCAAUGCCGUGCACACAUAGCUUCACGACUAGUUAGGCCGAUCGUUAUCGUUGCUUUUUACAAUUUUUCGCCACAACAUUUCGAAUCACUUGCCCUCGCAAAUGUGCCUGCUCGACCCUCACACCAAGAGAACUCUCGUCCGAUUUCCUGGGAAAAUGGGAGUGUGCCUUGAAUGGAGGGAUUCUGGGUGACGUUCUGCCUUCCUUGGAGAAUAUCCUCUUAGAUUCCCCGACUUUACGUCGAAGAAACGUUUCUUUAAACCAUUCGUUGGCUACACGAUUGUGCUCGUUUCUAUUGCGGCAGGAGAAAAAGGGAAAAAACGAUCGUUUUGAUGUUGUUAUAAAUUGCACUGAAGAAUCUUGGUAAAAUAAGGAUAACAUUUUUCUCUAUUUAUCAUUUCCAACUUGCAUUCUGCGAUGGUAUUUAGGUCGGUGGUGGAAGAUCUGAAUUUGAUCAAUUUUUUUUCGAAAAAAUUAUAAACUAUACUUCUUAUCGUUUCAAAAUUAUUCCUUAUUUGAAAUAUCUAUAGAAAGUGAUAAUACAAGCAUAGUAUAAAAUAAAAAUAAGAAGCAAAAAAAUUAAAUCUUGACGUAUCUCAAAAUUUUGCAUAAAUUAUCUUUCACACGUUAAGCUUCGUUCCACCCUGAUACCCAAUCCUCUCUUCGUCACGAUACAAUGCUCGUUAACAACAAAAAAAAAAAUAGUGAGUCUAAUAAGACCUUGUCAUUUCACGUUUCUCGCAAGGUGUCAAAAAAAAGAGGGGAAAAAAAAAGUUUCCAGGGCCGUUGCACGUUUAAUUGAACACGUGGUGGGCGAGAGAGAAAGAGAGAGAGACCUUGUUCGCCAAUUUUUGAACUCGGGGAAUGGUUGGUCGUAUUCCCGGAGUCUGCGGCAAAAAUAUAAAAUAUCAGUUGGCACGGAUCCCCUUCUAACCCUCUAACCUUUCGAAACCGCAAAAGCGGGGAAAAGCGGGGGGAGGGAAGGCGGGGAGGGGGCCAAUACCGAGCCUAAAUGAUAUGCGGCGAUCCACGUAAACGUAUUGCAGUUGGCUAGAUCGUAAACGAAGACCACCCGCGGGUUUCGCAAUCCCUCCACCACUUUAGCGACUUUAACCCUCCUCGACUAACGAACCGGAUCGUUAUUCAACCCGCUUGUAUCCUCGAGGAUACUACGGUCGCUCGUAAUUUUGAAAUACUGGCGUGGUAUCUUUGGAGGAUCAAGGGCGAGUCGGAAAUUCGAAGGUAUACACCGUGAAUGGUCGUCCAUACCGCAGAGUCGGAGGUUUAUGUGGUAAAACGUGUGUUUGCUGCAAUAAUGAUAUGUUGAUGGAAUGGAUAGGUUGAUGGAAUGGACAAAUAUGUGAAAUGUAUUGUACGUAAUACAUGUGAAAUUUGUGUAUCGUAAUAGAAUAGAGUAUUUUAAUGUAUAGAAUUUUGAGUAUUUCUUUUUUUUUCUACAAGUUUUUCAAUUCGAUAAAAAUUUUACUAAUAAUAUUUAUUGAAGCCUUAUAGAGAGAAUUAAUUAAAGAUUUUAAUUUUUAAUUCUAAUAAUCUUGCUAAUUGAUGGGUAAAAUUAUAGAAUCAACUUAGUAAGUAUAAAUUAUCGAAAGUCUUAAAAAAUUAGGAAUUCUGGUUGUUUCAUUUGCGAUAAUUUAAUGGAAAUGAUUUUAUGAUUUUAGAGAAAAUAACUCUAACAUUUAGAAUGUAAAACUGUUUUACAAAAAAUAUAUAUUGCAUAAAAUGUUGAAUUGAAAGUUAAAAAAUUGCAAAUUUUGAGUUAUAUCAUUGCAGCAAAUAUAUUCGAAUGAUAGCGACAAGAUUCAUUCUCUUUGAAAUAUGGAUAUGCAUUUAUGUAUUACUCUGUAUACUUGACUGAUUACGAUAUAAACUUGAUUCAUUGUGAUUUUCUAAUUAAGUAUUGUUUCUGUCGAUUGCAGAAAGAAAUAAGAAACUAAUAACUAAUGACUUAUGCUCCUUUAUUUGAUUACAAUCCGUCAUCUCGUUUCUUUCGUUCUUUGAAAUAUGUUGAAACGUAAUUUACAAAGUUUCGCGCAUUUUUUACUUUUCAAAUAAUAAAUUUAAUAUAUUUAUUCCAAGAAAAUAAAUAAAACUUUACUUUUUUCAAAUAUUAAAAGAGUAUUAAUAUCGAUUUCGAAAAAUAUCAAACAAUGAAAAUUCAAUUGAAAUCAAAUGUAACAUAACCUAACUUUUUUAACCACGACUUUACAAUCUAUUUCUUUUUCAUGCUUCGGAUUAUUGAUAAAAAAGGAAUAUUAGCUUUCAAGAUAUAAGAUAUAAGAUUGUUUAAAUAUCUCCGAUAAAAUCCUUCCGAAAACUCUUUACAAACUUUAAAAUCGUAACGAUGUUUUCCUUAUAACUUUGAUACAUUUAUCGCAUACUGGCGAUUAUACCUAGCAUCCUGUUAGUGCCACAACACAAAAGACGCGUCAACAAACACGCGAAGCUCCGCUCGAAGAUCGUAUAUACGCUAUUUUUACCGAUCGUUCCUCACGAGUUUCCACGAGUUCGAGUCUAAAAACGCGAGGAGGCCUAUCGAGUACAAAACAAAAAUGCGUAUGAAAUUCAAGAAUCGACGUUUCGAUGGAAAGGAGCUUUAAUCACUUUUUCGAAAAGGAUGAAGACAUUUCCACGAAAGAACCGUGUUUCUAUUAGUGCCUGGCGGAGGCUUGUCCACUUGAAAUAUAGGUAUCUGCAACGUAUACACGUUUUACAACGUGUUUCGCCACUGACGUGCUCUCAACUUCUGAUGUAUAUCAACGUAGUUUUUGUCCUCAUCGUGGAUAAGUAACAAAUCGAAGACAAUUAUUCUUCUGAAAUUUUAUGAUACAGGAUUAAUUAAUUUGACGAGACGAAUGUUUCUUUUAUGUUUAAUUUAUAUUAUAUGUGAAUAUAAUUUUAAGAAUGGGAUAUGAAAUUUUGUUUUUAGAUUUUAUAGCGAAUUUUCUGUGGAUAAUAUUAAAAAAUUGUAAUAAUUUUGUAAUUAAAAAGUGCUUAAAAAUUGUA